AAAUGAAUAGACGGGGGCCCGCACAAGCAGUGGAGUAUGUGGUUUAAUUCGAAGCAACGCGAAGAACCUUACCAGGGCUUGACAUCCCUCGAAGUUAGUAGAAAUACUAAUGUCCUACGGGACGAGGAGACAGGUGGUGCAUGGUUGUCGUCAGCUCGUGUCGUGAGAUGUUGGGUUAAGUCCCGCAACGAGCGCAACCCCUGUUGUUAGUUGCCAUCAUUAAGUUGGGCACUCUAGCGAGACUGCCGGUGACAAAUCGGAGGAAGGUGGGGACGACGUCAAAUCAUCAUGCCCCUUAUGUCCUGGGCUACACACGUACUACAAUGGCCGGUACAAAGGGAAGCUAAGCCGCAAGGUGGAGCGAAUCCCCAAAACCGGUCCCAGUUCGGAUUGUGGGCUGAAACUCGCCCACAUGAAGUAGGAAUUGCUAGUAAUGGCAGGUCAGCAUACUGCCGUGAAUACGUUCCCGGGCCUUGUACACACCGCCCGU
rnacentral:rRNA from 1 species